UAGUCUGGUGCCAGCAGCCGCGGUAAUUCCAGCUCCAAUAGCGUAUAUUAAAGUUGUUGCAGUUAAAACGCUCGUAGUCGGAUUUCGGGGCAGGUUUGCCGGUCUGCCGAUGGGUAUGCACUGGUAGAACUGUCCUUCCUUCCGGAGACGGCGCCUACUCUUAACUGAGCGGGUGUCGGAGACGGAUCGUUUACUUUGAAAAAAUCAGAGUGUUUCAAGCAGGCAGCUCGCUUUUGCAUGGAUUAGCAUGGGAUAAUGAAAUAGGACUUUGGUGCUAUUUUGUUGGUUUCGAACACCGAAGUAAUGAUUAACAGGGACAGUCAAGGGCACUCGUAUUCCGCCGAGAGAGGUGAAAUUCUUAGACCAGCGGAAGACGAACCACUGCAAAAGCAUUUGCCAGGGAUGUUUUCACUGAUCAAGAACGAAAGUUAGGGGAUCGAAGACGAUCAGAUACCGUCGUAGUCUUAACCAUAAACCAUGCCGACUAGGGAUUGGAGGAUGUUCCUAUGUGACUCCUUCAGCACCUUUCGGGAAACUAAAGUCUUUGGGUUCCGGGGGGAGUAUGGUCGCAAGGCUGAAACUUAAAGGAAUUGACGGAAGGGCACCACCAGGAGUGGAGCCUGCGGCUUAAUUUGACUCAACACGGGGAAACUUACCAGGUCCAGACAUUGUGAGGAUUGACAGAUUGAGAGCUCUUUCUUGAUUCGAUGGGUGGUGGUGCAUGGCCGUUCUU
rnacentral:rRNA from 1 species